rnacentral:tRNA from 1 species
GGAAGGGUGGCAGAGUGGUCAAUUGCAACGGUCUUGAAAACCGUGACUUUUAUGGUCCCGUGGGUUCGAAUCCCUCCCCUUCCGCAA